AGGGGUAUAGCUCAGUUGGUAGAGCGACGGUCUCCAAAACCGUAGGUCGCGGGUUCAAGUCCUGCUGCCCCUGCCA
rnacentral:tRNA from 5 species